GGUUAUUUUAACAUAACAUAUGGGACGUUCAGUAACUUAACCUCCCUCUGUUGGGUAAUCAUGGGUCGGUAAUAUUGGUCAAGAGGAGGGACUAUGAAAUCAUUUUCAUGAGAUCCUUGUUUUUCUCUCUGAAAAUUGUUGUUUCUCUUCAAAAGUGACUUGUGGAUUCAUUUAGCAGAAGUAGAGAAGGAAAUCAAAAUAAAAAUUUCCGGUUAAAUUGUAAAUUGGUCCUAAACGGGAAAAAGUCUCUACUGAGAGAACCAGAAACCUCUAAAAUAUGAAGACGACAAUUAGAAUCAAGUUAUAAUGAGCAUGAGACCGAGAAAUUGUGCAGUGUUAACAGACCCAUUACACUGAACAUGUGAUUCAAUAAAUGUUUAGUAAAACUUUUUACUUUGUAACAACAUCAAAUACACUUAAUUAUUAUU